GCAGCAUUGUAUGAGAACUGCUAGAAUAUCACUCACCACUUCCCAUAGAGAUUCUGUUUGUUCAUCUGCUUGUCCCACUGUGUGCCUUACACAUAGUAGGUGCUCUUGGAAUGUGUGUGAGAUGGAUUAACAUGAGAAGUGCUUCUCUGCAUGAUUUCACCAUUGAAGUGUUGAAAGCAACUAGCACUCCUCCUUCCUGACCUCCAGGCUUCCACCCAGCUGUGGGGACUGCUGUGGUGGAAGGGCCUAGUCUGAAUCUGGACAGGGGAGGUGCCUGCAAAUAUUUUCGUGCCUGCAAAUAUUUUUGUGCCUCGGGACAGAUGGAUGUCCAGUUUACUGUCUGCUUCCUCAGUGGUUCUAGAGCUGCUCAGUCGCAGGCUCCAGAUGUCUGCUUCAGAAUUCAAGAACACCUUCCUGAGCUGGGAAACAGAUCCAAGGAAAUAUCAGCCAGAGGCUUCAUUUUAUCAUCUGUGGAAAUGCAAGAUGUUAGAGCACCUAGGAGGGUCUUAACGUGCAAAACACUGUCUUGAGGCUGCCUGCAGAACAGAGGGUCAUCUGCUUUCAUUAGAUUCUCAAGGGAGCCUCAACAGGCUACACCUGAACCCCAGGUUUGGGGCAUCUCUCCAGCCCUCCCAGCUCUGACAUCAUCAUCACCAUUAACAGCUGAAAUGUGUGAGGUGGUUGGGAUGUACCAACAACCCUCCCAAGAGUCCCAUAUCUACCUGACCUCAUUUGACCUUCACAGCAACCCAGUGACUCAGCUGCUAUUUGGCCCACGUUUUACAAACCUGAGUCAGUGUGCUUUACCUCAGUGACCCAAGAACCCAGGUGCUAGAGUCAGGCCUGCAUCCAAAUCAGGGGUGGGAUCAGUGGUGUGCCCUGAACAAAUCAUUAUCCUCUUUUUUGUUUUAUUUUUUGGAGACAGAGUCUCACUCUGUCACCCAGGCUGGAGUGCAGUGGUACAGUCUCAGCUCACAGCAACCACUCUCUCCUGGGUUCAAGUGAUUCUCCUGUCUCAGCCUCCCAAGUAGCUGGGGACUACAGGUGCGUGCCACCACGCUCAGCUAAUUUUUGUGUUUUAGUAGAGACAGGGUUUCACCAUGUUGCCUAGGCUGGUCUCGA
rnacentral:lncRNA from 1 species